rnacentral:rRNA from 1 species
GAUGAACGCUGACAGAAUGCUUAACACAUGCAAGUCGAUGGGGAAGUGGUGCUUGCACCAUGGUAACCAUGGCGGACGGGUGAGUAACGCGUAAGGAACUUGCCUGCGGGACUGGGAUAACAGCAGGAAACUGCUGAUAAUACCGGAUAAGGUCAUUAAGCUGCAUAGCUUAGUGAUGAAAGGAGACGCCUGCGGAGAGCCUUGCGUCCUAUUAGCUAGUUGGAGGGGUAACGGCCCACCAAGGCGAAGAUAGGUAGCCGGCCUGAGAGGGUGGACGGCCACAAGGGGACUGAGAUACGGCCCUUACUCCUACGGGAGGCAGCAGUGGGGAAUAGUGGACAAUGGGGGCAACACUGAUCCAGCAAUUCUGUGUGCACGAAGACGGUUUUCGGAUUGUAAAGUGCUUUCAGCAGGGAAGAAGGAAGUGACGGUACCUGCAGAAGAAGCGACGGCUAAAUACGUG